CUACAAUGAUAGUUAAUAUUUUCCAUCAAUAGCAAUUCACCUAGUGAGUGUUGAUACUUUGAAUCUGAGUGA
ensembl:snoRNA